AUGACCUAAGGAAAUGUCAUCAUUACAUUGUUUGUAGUAUGAAAGCUGAUGGGUAGAGACAAGAUUUUAAUUUGAUUCCAGAUUUAAAUCAUCUCGGAGACCAGGUAUCACGGCCGGGGAAUGGCUUCCAAUAGCUGUAAAAGCAAAAUUCUUUCAAAUGUUCUUUCCUGUCUUAACUACAAGACUGGAAAAUUCAUCAUUGCAGAAAGCAAGAGAGUCGGCACUUUGUACAGAGUUAUACAAUUAUCCAUCAUUGGAUACCUUGUUGGGUAUGUAUUCCUGAGCAAGAAGUCCUACCAGGCCAAGGAGGAAUCUAUCCAGAGCGCUGUGAUUACCAAACUGAAGGGAGUGGCGGUCACCAACACCGCAGAGUCCGGACGGAUGGUGUGGGAGCCUGUGGACUAUGUCAUUCCACCCCAGGGUGAUGCAGUUUUUUUCAUUGUUACCAAUUUUAUUGAGACACCAAACCAGAAGUUGGGCAACUGUGCUGAGAGCCCUGAUGUGCCGGAUGGCCACUGUAAGGGAGAUAAAGACUGUGCAAAGGGAGAAUCAGUGAAAACUGGCCAUGGAUUUAGGACAGGCCGCUGCUUGAGAGACAAUGGGAAAUCCAGUGGUACGUGUGAGAUAUAUAGCUGGUGCCCCAUUGAGAGUUGCCACCAACCACAGGAUGGACAUAAACACAUGUCAAUUUUAAGAGAAGCUGAAAACUUCACAAUCUUCAUAAAGAAUUUCAUCAGAUUUCCCAAAUUCAGUUUCUCAAAGGCCAAUGUUCAGGACACAGCUGACAAAUACCAUCUGAAGAAAUGUCACUAUGAUGAGCUCCUUGAACCCUACUGCCCCAUAUUUCGUCUGGGAGACAUUGUUUACCGGACUGGACACAGCUUUCAGGACAUGGUUUUGAGGGGUGGUUCAAUUGGAAUUCUGAUUAAGUGGAAGUGUGACCUUGACAGAGAUCACUCAGAAUGCAAGCCACGGUACAACUUUACUCGCAUUGACAUUAAUGCAUCCAGAGAGUCCACAGGAUUCAACUUCAGACAUGCUCGGUAUUACAAGAAUGAGUCUGGAGAAGUCUACCGAACACAAUUCAAAGUGUAUGGCAUACGCAUCAACAUCAUGGUGCAUGGAAAGGCUGGGAAGUUCUGUAUCAUUCCCACCGUUAUCAAUAUAGGCUCAGGACUAGCUUGUAUUGGUGGUGGGACCUGGCUCUGUGACUGGAUUCUUCUCUACCUGAUGAAAAAGAGGGAGUUCUAUAAGGACUGGAAGUUUGAAAACGUCAAGAAAAAAGACAGAAACGCGUCUAACAUCACAGAACACUAUAACGGUACAACAGAGGAUACAAAACAAAUCCCAGAAGAGCAGCAGCUCACUGACCAAUCACCUGAGGUUUAACACCAUGGCAGCAGCUCACUGACCAAUCACCUGAGGUUUAACAGCAUGGCAGCAGCUCACUGACCAAUCACCUGAGGUUUAACACCAUGGCACCAGCUCACUGACCUAUCACCUGAGGUUUAACACCAUGGCAGCAGCUCACUGACCUAUCACCAGAGGCGGCAGGGUAGCCUUGUGGUUAGGGCGUUGAGCUAAGGUUCCAAGUUCGAAUCCCCUAGCUGACAAGAACAACAGCAAUGCCAUCCAUCUUGUCUAGUGAGUGAGUGGGAGGAGCAGGACAGACAACAUCUUCCUCCUCUUUAUCUAACCCCAAGCCUAACAACAGUGUACCACACCCAAAGGACUGGACCCCAAUGGACACCCAAAUGAACUGGACCAACCACUUGUCAGCGAGACAAGUCCGGAUAAGGAGUCUACCACAUAAGUUGAUGUGCCCUCUUGAAGAGAGGUGCUACAUUUUGGUACUCAUUUCUUACAGACUCAUACACAAGAGCAACAUAAUACUAUCAGACAGCCCUGCAUGUGGCCAUAGAGAGAAAGAGCUUUGACUUUGGGGAGCUGCUGGUACAGGAAAGAACAGAUGUUCAGGCCAAAGCCAGUGGAGACUUCUUCCAGCUCCAUAGAAGGCUGGGAUUCUAUUUUGGUGUUUUAGGUUCUACUCAUAUCCUACAUUGUGCUCACCUACGCCCACCAUGCUUAUCACCCUCAUGGGAAAGACAGUGGAAAAGAUUUCCAGAGAGCAAAAGGAUCUAGCAACUACAGAGAGCCUGUGUACUAUCCUGGACCUGGAGAGCUACCUGCCCAUGUGUCUGAAAGAGAAACUGUGCUCAGGAGAGGUGCAGAAGAAAGGAUUGUUGGCCGGAGAUGAAAGUAGAAUGUUUUUCAGCCCAGCAAUUGUUAAACUUGAUCUCCAGCGAUAAGGACGUUGCCAGUAUGACAAUGGAACAUUCAGAACAAACGACUGGGUCCUGUCCAUAGAUACAGAACAAAAAUAAUGAAAGUCUGGGUCUCGUCUCUGGCAACCCGAACCAAUAGAACGAACGACCAGCCGGCUUGGGUAGCAACCCUAGAUUUGUGUCCGGACUAUAUCUUAUGAAUGAAAUAGUAUGAAUAAAAUAAUACAAAUAAAGUUAAUGAAAAUA